rnacentral:tRNA from 1 species
UUUCUUAUGGUGUAAUUAACACAUCAGUUUUUCACACUGGGGAUGAAGAAGUUCUAAGGGAU